rnacentral:lncRNA from 1 species
AUCAGAGACUACGAUGGGAGAAAAUGGGUUUUAUGAACAGAAAUUUAAUAAGGGUAAAAUAUUAGAUAAAGCACGGUGUUUAAAUGAAAUGUAUCAUCUAAAAAUCCAGGAGUCUUGCAUAGUGGACAAUGUUUAUGUGUCCUGAUACGGCACAAAAUCAAAAUCUCCAGUCUAUUGAUUAUAGAGUUAUAAAAGGCCAUCCUCUUCAAUAGUCCAAACACAUUUGGUAGCACACCUAUCAAAAUCAUGUUUAUAUGAAAAUGCAACAAAGUGGUGCCAAUUUGAAUCAUUCCACAUCACAUUACAGUAAAAAAGAGUAGUCCCCCAAAUAUUAACAUUGGAACUCCAAUCAGCUUCAAAGCCAUCGGGUAUUUUAUGAAAAACCAAGAUCAUUAUCCCGCGACUUGCAAUGGAUAUUCAAAAUCCUUUCGUGUCCCAGACGAUUUACAACACUUGCGCCGACUCUAUCUAGCACCAUUGAUUCAGACAGCCUCAAAACCAGAAAAAGAACGAGAGCACAUGUUUUAGACAUAACAAUGUUUUUUU